rnacentral:rRNA from 1 species
AUGCAUGUCUAAGUAUAAGCUUUUAUACGGUGAAACUGCGGAUGGCUCAUUAUAUCAGUUAUAGUUUAUUUGAUAGUGCCUUUACUUGGAUAACUGUUGGAAUCCGAGAGCUAAUACAUGCAAAUGGCUCCGACUCGGUGCAAGCCUGGAAGGAGUGUAUUUAUUAGAUGUGAAACCAAUGCGGGGUAUUCCAAACUGUGCGUUCUCGAAAGGGGGCGUACGGGCUCCGGUUUUAUGGUGAAUCAUGAUAACUCUGCGAAUCGCAUGGCCUUGCGCCGGCGAUGAUUCAUUCAAAUUUCUGCCCUAUCAACUUGACGAUAGUAUAGAGGACUAUCGUGGUUUUAACGGGUGACGGAGCAUUAGGGUGCGAUGCCGGAGAGGGAGCCUGAGAAACGGCUACCACGUCUACGGGCGGCAGCAGGCGCGUAAAUUACCCAAUCCUGACACAGGGAGGUAGUGACAAUAAAUAACAAUGCUCGCCCCGACAAGGGGUGAGCAAUUGGAAUGAGUACGACUCAAAACCGCUAACGAGUAGCAAUUAGAGGGCAAGUCUGGUGCCAGCAGCCGCGGUAAUUCCAGCUCUAAUAGCGUAUUUUAAAGUUGUUGCAGUUAAAACGCUCGUAGUUGGACUUUAGAACUGGGCGUGGUUGGUCCGCGUUAAGUGAGUACUGCCACGUCGGUUCUUCCUUAUGAGAUACUUCCCUGUUUGUCCUUCGCUGGGCGAGCAGGAGCAGGCGCAGUGCGGUGUUGGCGUCUUUACCGGCGUCGGUGUGGCGUUGCGCCCGGGUUCUCAUUCGUUUACUUUGAAUAAAUUAGAGUGUUCAAAGCAGGCUAUUUAACGCCUUGAAUAAUCUAGCAUGGGAUAAUGGAAUAGGCUGUCGGCUUAUUUCGUUGGUUUCUAAGCCAGACAGAAUGAUUAAGAGGGACAGUUGGGGGUUUUCGUAUUCAAUUGUCAGAGGUGAAAUUCUUGGAUUUGUUGAAGACGAACUACUGCGAAAGCAUCAACCAAGGAUGUUUUCAUUAAUCAAGAACGAAAGUUAGGGGAUCGAAGACGAUCAGAUACCGUCGUAGUCUUAACCAUAAACGAUGCCGACCAGCCAUUCGGAGACGUUACAUUUUAUGACUCCCCGAGCAGCUUGAGAGAAAUCAGAGUGUUUGGGUUCUGGGGGGAGUAUGAUCGCAAGGGGGAAACUUAAAGGAAUUGACGGAAGGGCACCACAAGGAGUGGAGCCUGCGGCUUAAUUUGACCCAACACGGGGAAGCUUACCAGGUCCAGACAAAGUAAGGAUUGACAGAUUGAGCGCUCUUUCUUGAUUCUUUGGGUGGUGGUGCAUGGCCGCUCUUAGUUGGUGGAGUGAUUUGUCUGGUUAAUUCCGAUAACGAACGAGACCUUAACCUGCUAAAUAGUCACUGGAAACUGCUG